AUUCCCCUAACCCGUCAUCUAUUUCCCUCUCAUUCUCACCAAAAAACCACAGAUUUGUAGAUCAAAACCCACACACACAUCUUAUCAAAAUCUCUCAAUCGAUCCAAAGAUUUGCAGAUCAGAUCUUUGCACCAUACAAUGAAUUUAGUGAUGGGAUCUAUUAUGAUAAGUCUGUGAAAUGAGGUGCAUAAUUGAUGAUUCAGAUCCAAAAUCCAUUUCGUUCCAGAAUCCAAAUCAAUCACAGUUCAAUUUCGUUCCAUAAUCCAGUUAUGGCUAUCUUCUUCUAUAUUUCAAGGUUUUGUCGAUAAAUCAUAUGCUGCUUCAGGAAGACAUCUGUUCGAAGAAAACCACUUUCAGAAACUGUACUUGCAAUAUAACAAAUUUUUAACAUUAUUUCAACCAUAAAAUCAUUUCUCCAAUAGUUUGAUUAACCUUUUGGUGAUUUCUGCAUAUCCACAUUGCAAUAAUAAUUUAGCUCAUGGGUAUAUGUCUAAUUCUGAUCUUGAGAAGGUUAUCAAGGCAUUUCAUGGUAGAUGUGGUCGUAUAUCAAAGAUAUACAGUUAGCUGACUCGUUCUUGAUUCUCUCUUUGAGGGCAUUUAAACAUCCACCAGUAUUGGGAAAAGUGUCUUUGGAGUUCCACUGUGGGCGAUCGAAAUGUCUAACAAGCCUGGGAAGGAAGAAGCUAAACCUGCUUUCAAGUUUAUCAGGAAUGUGCAUGGAGAUGAACCUGUUGCCCGUGAACUUCUCUUACGUCUAGCAAAUUGGCUGUGAGACAAUUAUAUGAAGGAUCCCUUGGUAACUUUUUCCGCUUUUAAUUAUUAUUGUAUCCUUCUAUCUCUAGUAGCCUUUCAUCUUUUAUACCCAAACUAUCAUAAAACAUGUGAUCUGUAUAGCCUAUUUCCAGUUUUGAGUCACUUUGACCUACGAGUCAAUGGUCAGUGCAGGCGACACUUUGCACCUUCACAUCCUUCCGUCCAUGAAUCCGGACAGGUUUUCACUGAGGCGGCGUGGUAACGCAAACAACGUUGAUCUCAACCGUGAUUUUCCAGACCAGUUUUUUCAAAUGAAGGAUGAUCUCACAGAAAGACAACCUGAGACAAAAGCGAUCAUGAAUCGGAUAAAAAAGAUAGUUUCACAGCCUCUGCUAGUCUUCAUGGGGUGGUUUUUUUAUCGAACAAGAUAUUAAGAGCCUACCAUGUUUACAGGUGAUGUCAAUUCCGACAACCAAGGGUAUUGGAAAAACCACCAAAUCUUUUGGCUGAAGAGCUUAAUGUGAUGUCAAAAGAAGUUGAGUAUAGUCAGUUGGCUGAUGUAGCGACAAUAAGUAGUAAGUGCUGGGAACUAUGAAGUGGAAGUAUGACUACUAAGAAAACGUUAACACGACGAUUAUUUAACUCGCAUGAGGAUUGUGAAAGAGAUUCAUAACACAAUGAAGUUUUGAGUUUUUAGUCAUACGCUUGUUAGUUUAUUUGGUUUAUAUGUUUGAUCAUUAGAGUUAGAUCGACACUUAAUUAGACAUUUGGAUUCUUUGGAAGAUUGAUUGACCUUUUAAG